rnacentral:sRNA from 1 species
CACUUUCGCUCAUUUGGCACGCAUUCGAAUCUAUUGGAGAGCAAGUCCGCAUAGAGAGAUCUCAAAAAGUACUCCACAUGGAUAUACCCUAUGCAGAAUCAACUUUAAAAUAAGAGACUAAGCAUCAACAUAAAUUAGAGUAUACAAAUCAAGAAGCUUAAUAAUAUUCAAUAAAAUCUGGUCGAAACAUUCGUUUCCGUGUAGCAAACGAGGGAAAUAAUCUGCUGGCGGUCACAAGGCAAUUACCAAUUGAAAUUCCAUGAAGGGAUUGUAAGCAGACAUGCAAAACUGGGAGCAACAAUCGGAGUUUUCGGUAGAAACUCAGAUAAGAUAUGGCAAUUGUAUUCGUAUGACGACAACUGCCAAAGCAAUUGAGCAAUUGUCUUUACAUGUCUGAAUAUCAGACGACGACAGGCGCUCAACUUUUGGAGCUGGUGUACAAUGACCUGCCCCUCAUCCAAAUCCAAACUGCGCCAACUUUCACCAUUCGUUCAGGGAGCCAUUGCACACAGAUAUAGAUAUCUGAAGCACAUAGCUGCAGGCCAGGCGGAAGUAGAUAUGGCUAAGUCAGAUAACCAGAUGUCUUGGUCUUGGCCAGAACGCCAACGAUCGGCUGAAACCAGCUGCACUUGGCGGAAAUAAGCACAGCUAUGUACAUCAGAUACAUCAGAUAUACAGUACGAUGACGUAUGUGGGCGAUAUGCAUCGAUCUCAGCUGAAUCAGCUUCGAUUUGGUUUACACUCGAUAGAAGCAAAUUCGUUAAUGCAAUUAGCAUCCGCUGGCGUCCAGGUUCUACUUAAACUCUCUCAUUUACCAGUCCAAUUCCCAGAGAUUGCCAUGGGCAACGAAACCAGUUGAAUGCGGCGGUGGCAUUAAUUGGAAAAUAAAUUGAGACUUUGAGACACUACCCCAGAAAUCCAUCCUAUGUGCAACCGCACCGAUUGCGUCAUGCCAUCAGACAUUCAUUAUCUUCUCAGCUCGGAUGAAUCUUCGCUUUGCAAAUGCGAUAACCUUGCGAUUUUGGACCAAGCAAUCUUUAACUCACAGAGUUUAGUGCUGACACCAACUAAUUCCCUUCGGUAGUUAAAAUGGUUGAUAUAUGUCGGUUCGAUUUCGAAAACAUCCAAAAAGCAGAAUAAAAUAUUUUCCCGUGUACAGAGCAACCUUCUAACCGAAUUGAUGCUUCUUUUUGGAAGAGUAUGCGAUAAAUUAGAAUAUUCAGCUGUGUACGUCUGUGCGUACAAGGUCUGCCACUCGACGCGAUCAGAAGAGAUUUAAAAACGCCUUAAUAUGUAUUUAAUUUUAGCCUUUGUGUUAAUUUCAGGCAGCGUUUUCGUGUAUUUCUCUGCCGCAUGCAAAUUUUAUGAAUCGAACUUUAGGCCCACGGGGCAUAUUCAUCCAACGAAAUUAACGUAAAUUGUGGUGAAAUUGCGCACAAUUACCAUGGAAUCUAAGCACUGUUUGUGGAUAGAACUGGAUUCGAGUUUGGACGACCUUGGGUACGCCCUUUUAAAAUCGCUUUUCGUAAACCCAGCCCUCCAUUCAAUAACGAUCGUGACGAUGAUGAAGUUGCUUUGAAUGAUGUGUAUUCCGCACACUAUCUUUCGCACCGCCAGAUGUUUUCGGCCGAUUCAGAUGCCACAGAUGACGUAGUCGCACCAAAAAUAGCCACUUCAGGGGGCGGCAAGGACGCGGGGGGCGUGGCAAAACAAGAGCAAAAGGCAAUGGGUUCACAGGUGUGUGUGUUGGUGUGGGUGGAUUGGAUUGAAACUGCUUGUUGCAUUCGUUGGUAAUUAAAUAUCUUGAUAUUA